GUGGGUGAUGGUUCUUGUCCCUUC
rnacentral:siRNA from 1 species